CACAGCCGGCGCCUUUGACCUGCCGCGCCACCGCUGUCCGACUAUGGCAGAGCAUACCACCACCACCAUUUUCUUCCUCACCUCGAGACCUUCAAGACCCAUUCCGUGUAUGUGAGAUUCAAGCAUCUCCCUGACGAGAUCGAAAUCGAGGCAGUGACGCCGACGAGCAUCCGGCGAGGUUCUGAGCUUUGACCCUAUCCCUUUGUCCAUUUUUGGUAAUCUUUCGAUCUCCAUUUCAUUUCUUGACUCAUCUCUCCUUCGAUUUGCCGAAUCGGAGCUCUAACCUCAAUUCUCCGUCCUCUGUUUUGCUCCGCUGUGAGUCCCGUCUCUGGCAAGCUUGAGUCUCGUUCCAGACGCCCUAGUCGAGUUCGGAUUGGACUUAGAAACAUCAGAGCUGUCUCAGGAACUAGGAGGAGACCUCGGUUGAGCAGCUGCACCUCGGAAUAGGAGCGGAGGAGCACCACGGCGAUCGGUUGUACUUCCGUUCUCCGUUGAGAGUUUACACCUACGCUUAUAGCACGAGGAUCGAGGCUAGACCACGUGGACUACGACUUCGAUAUACCAGGGCAUGAAACAGAAGCCAAAUGGAGAAGGUGGUGGUGAAAGCCAUUAUUGGAAUCGGGCUAGAUAGAGUAUGAGAAGCAAUGAAGACGAAGGAGUUGCUGAUUUGGGGGAAAUAAUGCCUCGUGAUACUCAUAUGAAUGGGUGGUCACAUAUGACACGUGGUGCAUUUGUCGUAUUUAAGAAUUUCUCGUAACGGUAUGAUCGUGAAGAGGUAUCAUAAUUUUUGGAACGCACA